AUUGAACGCUGGCGGCAUGCCUUACACAUGCAAGUCGAACGGUAACGCGGGGCAACCUGGCGACGAGUGGCGAACGGGUGAGUAAUGUAUCGGAACGUGCCCAGUUGUGGGGGAUAACUGCUCGAAAGAGCAGCUAAUACCGCAUACGACCUGAGGGUGAAAGCGGGGGAUCGCAAGACCUCGCGCAAUUGGAGCGGCCGAUAUCAGAUUAGGUAGUUGGUGGGGUAAAGGCCCACCAAGCCAACGAUCUGUAGCUGGCAUGAGGGGACGACCGUCGAGAAUGGGACUGAGACAAGGCGCGUACACGUGCGGUAGGCAGCGGUGGGGAAUUUUGUACCAUGGACGAAAGUCGGAUCCUGCCAUGCCGCGUGCGGGAUGAGGGCCUUCGGGUUGUAAACCGCUGUUGUAAGGGAAGAAAAGGGCGACUCUAAUACAGUUGCCUCAUGACGGUACCUGAAGAAUAAGCACCGGCUAACUACGUGCCAGCCGCCGCGGUAAUAC
rnacentral:rRNA from 1 species